CACAGAACUGCAGUGUGCAGUAAUCGUGUUGGCUUCUGUUCCACAGUCUUCCCAGGCCUCUCUUUGCAAGGACUUCCUGCCCACGGCGUCGUGUUCAGCUCAAAGGCAGACUUCUGCUGAAAUGUGGGUCCAGAGAAACGCAACCUGACAUGAUUAUGGAAUAAUUCAAUACAGCCCAAUGCUAAGGAGCAUCUCUCACUUGUAGACAGCACUAGGUAACGCAGCGAACAGACAUAUGUGUCUCAGGGGCUGUUUUCCUAAGGAAGGGGCUCAUCUUCUAAGGACCACAGGGAGUCAGAAGAAGCAGACCCCAGCAGGGGUGCACGUGAGUAGCCAAAGACAGAGAGUUCCAGAGCAGUCAUGGAGGAGGGCUGGCCCUUACAGCACUUGAGCAGCACUGGGACCCCAGUCAUCGGCCAGCACUAGACCUGGGUACAGGGUACAGGACAGGGAGCACUCCCCAGGCUCUGGAGGAUGAGGCACUGGCAGGCAGGGAGUUUCCUUCUGCACACACAGGGUGUGAUGAGGCUGUCACAGAAACUGUCCCCCUCCUGGCAGGUCUCCUUUGCUAUGUUCCAUCCAGCUGCAGGGCUGUGAAUUCAUUCUUGUUUUGUUUGUUUCCUGCAUGCGUGCUGUGGCCAAAUAAAAGGUAAGAGUCACAACUUUCUAAAAUAUCUAAGUUCUAUUGAUCUACACGGAAUCCUAAAACUAAAUUCAGCAAAGUUGGUGCUAAUCCACCUAGUAAUCCAGAAUCAUCUUCUACAGUUCAGACCAGGAACUGGCAUGGGACUCUCACAGGUGCACCCACAGCAUGCUUGGUGAGUGAGUGUUAAUAUCUCCUGCUUCCACAGCUUCUCACUCUCACAAUAACUAGGUGAAAAUAGACAGACACUUGCCAUUCCCUUUCCCACAUAUGUGGAAAUGCAGGCUCAGAAGGAUGAGAUACUUUCCUGAGCCCAAAUCUAAGGUUUCUCUGCCUCUAACGUGAACACAGCAAAGGCCCCUGUGACAGCCCUGUUGCCAGCCCUGCUCUCUUUCCAAGGUGCACUUGCUGGAGUGAUUUUGUCUUCACAACUGCAUCUUGUGGGCUUUGUCACUUUGGUGAACCAGCAGACAAAGCGUAUUUAUUUGUGAGAUCACAUUUCAUGGGCUAGAGGUGCUGGUAAGCCACGAGGGAGAAGACACUUUAGAAUCUUAAACACCAGCCUUGAAAACUCUGUGUUCACAGAACAUAAUCAGUCAUGGAACUAUCUUUUCUGAGUUCUCCUGGGCAGAAAAUCCCUGGUUUUGAGAGACGUGCACUGAGGUAGGGAGUAUGAACCGUGAUUUACCCUGGGUUCUAAAGUGCAGCGUGCUGUGCUUUCUGACACAUGGGCAGGAGACCUUGGGGUGUCACCUACUCUCCAAUCUCCCUUGGCCUCAGUUUCUCCUUAGCAUGGUUGAGAUCAUCAAAACUGAAAACUAGGAAGGCUGCUGAGGGCACUGCAGCCUUCUUGGAGGUACAGCCAGUGUGCACUUGUCUUCUUGUCACCAGGGCCAGGGGACCAUGGAGAGAAGGGGGCAUGGCACCCGGACAGAGGAGUGGUUAGAUUCCCUUGUCUCAGAAACCUUAACUUAUUAACAGCAGGAUAGAUUGGAGAGCCAGGAAGGACAGAUGGACACCUCAGGAGACGUUUCAAUCCCCUUGUCCAGGAGACUCCAAGAAGCUUCUGUGCUUCAGGCUCUGUGCUAGGGUGAGGGAAGAAAUUGAAGUCUUUUCCUUUCCCUCUGGGGUGCUCAGUUUGUGGGAGAGACAGAGAGUAAGCAGAUUUUCUUUUUUAGGAAAUAAAAUGUAAGGCUCAUAUGUCAAAACCUGCAAGUAAAUCAGCAACCACCACUAUCUGGAACCUAAGUCUUUUUGUAUGUGUGGUCACAUUGUGAUAAUUGUAACUGAAACACAGGACUCAGCUUCCUGAUCGGUACAAUAGGAACGACUAUUACUGAUGUUCUCAACAAUAUUAAGCUUUGUUUACAAAUGUGGAUUUUAUGAAACUUUAUUGUGUGGCUAUUUUAUUUUGUUUGUUUUUUGUUUUCUGUCUUUUUCAUUUUUAUCGGUACCAGGGAUCAAACUCAUGACCGCACACUUGCAAGGCAGGCGCUUAUGCUACUGAGCUAAAUCCCCAGCCCCUUGUGUGGCUAUUUGAAAAAGUAUACAAACAUUGCAGUGGACCAUUCUCAUCCACACUUCACAGGACCACUCCACAAGAGGAAAGUAGCCGGAGUAGAAGAGUUUUACACUAAAAAUGGGCUUUUUAGGGACUUACCGUCUGUGUGGAAGUCCAAGAUUCAAAUAGGCUGAUUCACAACUGUGACACAUCAAAUCCAAAUGUUAAUGUUUCAGUUCUAAGAGUCCCUGAAAACUGAUGUUUCUUCUUUAUUUUUAACCUUCUAAGUUUGCCAGAAUUUCACUGGAAUCAAACCACUUGUGAUUGGAGCAGAGGGAUCGCCUCUAAGAAAAAAAAGGGAUACUUUUGACAUCAGAGUUGAGUGUUUAAGAGUCAACUAAAAUUAAAAACAAUCAACUUGAACUGAAUAUCAAAAUUCUUGAAUUAUCUGGGAUCUCUUCCGAUAGAAUUUUCGGCAUGGUUAAAAAGAUAAGAAAUAUGAAAUAAAAGUGGGCUUUAUUUUAAGAAUGUGGAGAGAGACUCCAUGACCUCUGGGGUCUGGCAUUCUCUCCACCCCACACAUGGUAUGGGGGGCACACAUAUAGCUUAGGUUUGGGGUGGUGCCUAAGGGGCAUUAGUGAUGCACAGGUAGCCCAUUGGAAUUCAUUUCGCGCCACAGGUAAAUUGCCUAGGGGCGGAAAGGUGACCUCAAGAUAGAGCCCCUUGGUUCUGCCUCCCAGCCUUCCACCGCUGCAGCUUUCUAUACAGGGCAGAAUCCUUUCAUGUUCACCAGGUUUCUUCGGCACACUCCCCCUCUGACCAGUCACUAACAGUGGGAGGCUCCCUUGGUUCCGGCAGGCCCUUCCACCACUUGGUGUCUGCCCCUCCGUUUCCUGAUGUCCAUGGGCCUCCUGACUGAAGGUUGCAGGGCCGCUGAGACCAUGACUAAGCCAUCUAGGCCUCCACAGCAGGAGAGGCAGGGUCUGGGGUCCAGGCCAGGGUUGUGCCAUCAGUGUUUCUAAUACUUAGUACUUGCACUAAUGAUUCCUGGCUUUUAUUAAUUUUAAAUUCCACAGCCUGGCACAUCAUCUGAUAGCACAUGACAGUACCAUUCAUCUAGUCUGGGUAUUACCAUGACUCACUUUCUCUUGACCACCUGAAACUUAAUAUUGUAAAAUGUGGACAUUAGGAAGCUGGCUGGAAGCUAGUUUCCAGUGCAUCAUUUCUCCAAAGGUUUGGAAAUAUUGCUGUGCCAUAAAAGUCACUAGCAAUGUAGAAAAAGAUCCCUGCAUCCUACUUUUAAUUGCAUCAACUGUUCUUGGCCUUCACAGCAUCUCUUCAGCCCUUUGAGACCAUUCCUGUAACUCUCAGGGCUGGGAGUGAUUGGCUCUUUUGGCAUUAUUGCUUUCCCUCUGCUGAGGCCACACUUGGCCUCUAUAAGUGCAGAGUCUGGUGAGCAGCUCCCACACAGCCCGGCUUAGAACCCUGACCUGGGCCUGCAGCCUGUGAACAAUGGCACAGCCAGAGAAAUGCAUUGAUCAGCCUACUGGUGUUUCUUAAAUUACUCAAAUUCUUUAUUUCUAUUACAAAGGAGACACAAAACCUAGGCAAUGUGACACCCUUUCUCUCCUGGGGAUGCUCUUGUCCUCUCUCUCUCACAUUCUUAGCACUCCUACCCCAUCUUAAGUACCUCGGGCCUUGCCUUAACCUUCGUUAUUUUCCUCCUACCUCAAUACCCCAGAAUCCGUUUUGUGUCACUGUAUCAAAACACUAAAUGCUGUGUAAAGAAGGAGCCUUACAUGGCUCACAGUUCUGGAGUGUGGGAAGUCUCCAUGGCGUGGCAUGUGACCAAGUCCCUCUGCUCACAUCUCAAAUGGUGGAGAAGCAGCAAGGGAACCAGUGAGACAGGGAGCUCAAUUGGGAGGCCUUGAUUUUUAACAGCCCACUCGCACAAGAGUUAACUCAGUUACUUGAGAAACCCAUUAAUCCCUUGCAAAGGUGAUGCUCCAGGACCUAGGAUUACCUCAAGGCUCCAGCUUUUAAAGAUGCCACCACCCAACACUGCCACACAGGGCCAGCUCGGGCCCCUCAGGACACGAUGCACACAGAAUGGCAGCAGUGAUGCAAGCGAAACUGGAAAUGUUUCAGCAAGCUGUAGGCCAGGCACAGUGAGAUCGCAGGUACACGGAUGUUUCUAGAUCUAAGAUCUGUGAUUAAAGUUCUGGCAGCAAGGUCAGACAUAAAACCACCUAAAUAUCCAUGACUUUGGAAGCUUCUUAAAAUUUCAUGUCAUUUAUUGUAUUGGAGGAGUAAUUCCUAUUUUGGUCUAUCUUUCCUGGCUGAGUACUGCUGGCUGUGAACUUAAUGUGAGAUUUCGCUACAGUAGGAGCUGUGUGAACCAGGGAGGGCUUCAGAUCUGUUUGUGGUGCUUCGGAGCUUUGGGCCUGUGAAAACUGACUGCAGUUCUUUCCUAUCUGCAAACUGGAAGUGAAUGUUUUAGAGAACUUUGCUGUGGGUUUGUGCCUGUGAUUUCCCAAACUC